rnacentral:lncRNA from 1 species
UUUUCAUUCUCUUCAGGUCUUGGAGUAUCCAAAACAUAAGCAAUCUUCAAAGUUGAUAACAAAAAGUGCAUCUUUUUCUGCCAUCGUCGAAAAUUGCCACCAUCAAAACGAUCAAGUUUAACAAAGUUGGAAGCCAACUCCCUUAGUGUUCCACUUUCAUGUGUUGUGGUAGUCAUCAUGAAUUAUAACCUUAAAAUUGUUAUUACAAAACUCCGGUAAGGAAAAUCUCGAACACACGAUCGGAACUCGAAAAGAAAAAGAAGAAAUAGGACAAGGCUC